rnacentral:rRNA from 1 species
AGAGUUUGAUCCUGGCUCAGAAUGAACGCUGGCGGCGUGCCUAACACAUGCAAGUCGGAUGUGCCGCAAGGUGCAUGGCAGACGGGUGAGUAACGCGUGGGCAAUCUACCUUUUAGUGGGGAAUAACGAUCCGAAAGGAUUGGUAAUACCGCAUGUGAUCAUCGACUGGGAUGUUGGUGAUGAAAGCCGGGGACCGCAAGGCCUGGCGCUAGGAGAGGAGCCCGCGUCUGAUUAGUUAGUUGGUGGGGUAACGGCCUACCAAGACAUCGAUCAGUAGCCGGCCUGAGAGGGUGAUCGGCCACACUGGAACUGAGACACGGUCCAGACUCCUACGGGAGGCAGCAGUGGGGAAUUUUGCGCAAUGGACGAAAGUCUGACGCAGCAACGCCGCGUGGGUGAUGAAGGUCUUCGGACUGUAAAACCCUGUCGUCAGGGACGAAGGUUGAGGGGUUAAUAACCCUUCAGCUUGACGGUACCUGGAGAGGAAGCCCCGGCUAACUCUGUGCCAGCAGCCGCGGUAAUACAGAGGGGGCAAGCGUUAUUCGGAAUUAUUGGGCGUAAAGGGCGCGUAGGCGGUUUUUUAAGUCAGAUGUGUAAUCCCCGAGCUCAACUUGGGAACUGCAUCUGAGACUGGAAGGCUAGAGUACUGGAGAGGGUGGUGGAAUUCCUCGUGUAGCGGUGAAAUGCGUAGAGAUGAGGAGGAACACCAGUGGCGAAGGCGGCCACCUGGACAGUAACUGACGCUGAGGCGCGAAAGUGUGGGUAGCAAACAGGAUUAGAUACCCUGGUAGUCC